rnacentral:rRNA from 1 species
UUUAUGGAGAGUUUGAUCCUGGCUCAGGAUGAACGCUGGCGGCGUGCCUAAUACAUGCAAGUCGAGCGAACAGACGAGGAGCUUGCUCCUUUGACGUUAGCGGCGGACGGGUGAGUGACG